rnacentral:rRNA from 1 species
GCUUGUCUCAAAGAUUAAGCCAUGCAUGUCUCAGUAUAAGUUCCUGUACGGCGAAACUGCGAAUGGCUCAUUAAAACAGUUAUAGUUUAUUUGAUGGUCGUUCCUUACAUGGAUAACUGUGGUAAUUCUAGAGCUAAUACAUGCAGGAAGACCCGACUCACGAAGGGUUGUAUUUAUUAGAUAAGAAACCUUCCCCUUUGGGUUGCGUGCCGAGUCACAAUAACUGCUCGAAUCGCAUGGCUUCACGCCGGCGAUGGUUCAUUCAAAUUUCUGCCCUAUCAGCUUUCGAUGGUAGGAUCGAGGCCUACCAUGGCGUUUACGGGUAACGGAGAAUUAGGGUUCGAUUCCGGAGAGGGAGCCUGAGAGAUGGCUACCACAUCCAAGGAAGGCAGCAGG